rnacentral:miRNA from 1 species
AUAGGAAUCACGUGGAGAUCUUCUUAAAAUUACAGAUUCUAAUUCUGGAGGUUUGGAGGAGGGCCCAGGAUCCUGCUACUCUAACAAGGUCCCAUGGGUGCUACU